UCUAAAUAUCAGAGUACGCCGCGGGUACUGAACGUCUCUAAAGUUCAGCCAGGAACGUACGACCGUGCACGAAAAUACUCCGGGAAGCUCGCGAGUUCCGUAAAAAGAGAGACCAAUGACUAUUCGAUCCACCGGUCCAAAUGUCCGGACUCUGGUGGACGAUUUAGAAUCGGAGAACGCGCGCCGGAUGAUCCGUGAAACCGAUUAAUACGACGUACUGUUCGAGACGUGGUUUGUAGGGUAACAUUUUCGUGAGAAGCCUCGCGGCACCGUCGGCGCACCGUUGCGAAAAAUCAUUCCCCGUUGAAGGCGAGUGUCCCUCUUAGCGUUUCGCAUCGCCUGGCGAAACGAGUUUCCAACGCGAUUCAAUGCCUCGGUCUUGCAAAUGUGAAAGUACCGCGGGUUCUGAAAGUCGUUUUGCUCGAAGCUUCUCGAGCGGCCCUGGACCGUUCACCGAGAAAAGAAUUGCGGGUGCGAGGACGAGACGAUGAAAAAUCACCGGCGAACACCGAAACUCCGUCGACGUCGAUUUAACGACGAGCGAGUACGUACAACAGGAACGUAUGGAUCAACUUAUGCAGAUGUUUGACAAACCGAGCCAUUCUAUGGCUGAUCUUCGAUACGUUGGCUAAUCCCCCAUUCCAGGUAAAAACCCUUUCUCGCCUACCAUACUAUAGAAUUUAUUAUACCCUUGGUUCGCAACCCUAUCGGAUCUUUCCAUGCUCUUUUUUGUCAAUCCCCUUCUUCCUUAUUUUUAUUACUUCCAGCCCGUAAGGAUCGCUUUACGGGAACUUUUCGAAGUGACGAAAUAGCCAGUCGUAUAGUAACUCAUUCCAUGGCAAGCGAAGAAGCAUUGUUCGGUCGAAUACUAGACUCUGGUUUCGUUGAGAAUACCCGGACCAAAGGAAAAUUGCCAAUCACGGUUGAAAACCGUUAUCGAGGUAUCAGCGAGACGAACGUGUAAAGCAAACAGAAAAAGAAAGGAAAUGGAUGAAAUGACUCGAGAGAAGAUCAGUGGUAAUCGUUUCGAGCGAAUGCGAUUUAAUUUCGAUUAGCCUCUCGUCGACCUCGGCGGAUCUUUACGAUACCGAGGCGCGUCACCGUUUGCACGGAAAAAUACUCUGAUCCCGGUAUAAGCCGCGCUCUGAAAAAUAUGGUGAGACGGCACCGUGGAGGAGAGACGAGCUGCACGGUACUAUCGCAUCGAGGAAAAAAGAAAUGAGAAUAUACGUGACAUGCAGCGUGGCACACGUAAAUAGAAAAUUUCGCUCGUGUCGAGAUUAACGUCGGACGGAGAAUGAGACGAGACACGAAAUCCGAUUGAGCCGAGCGACGAUGUCGCGACGUCUCUGUGCGGCUCGCGACGUCCUCUCUUCGAGCACGGAAGAUUCGAUUAGGAAUGGGCCGAUCGAUCUGCCGGACGAGAAGCUAUCCUAUCAGCCGCAACGUGAAACUUGAUUUCUCUUCGACCCUUUGCAGCUAAAAUCCGUGCAUUAAUUCAAUAUAUUUAGAGCGAAUGGCUCUCAAUUAAAAAAUUAGUGAUACCAUCGAACUUUUAUCGAGUGGGUCAGAACUUAAAAAAUAUAAAUCGGGCACGGGCAAUGCUUAUUCUGAUUUAUGUAUCUGAAUAAAACUAAAUUCGAGCGAACGAAGAAUAGUUUGCUUUCGAUUGUACGAAGAAUACAUAUCUGAUUGCACAGUCCAGUCGAUGCGCAGGAUUUAAUAGGCCCUCGACAGGGUGACUGGCGAUGAUUCAAUGGCGAACGCAAUUGAUAACAAUUGGUUUCCCUGUGUCCUCAACAUACAUAUAUUGACACGGGGACGAGGCUGGUGAACCAGCUCUGCGUAACGUUGAACCGUCCAUCGAGAAAAUCUUGUUCUAUCUCUUCUUGCGUCAUUGGAAUCGAUGGUUGAAAUUAGAACGUACAACGUAAUUCAGAGAAGACUGAUUUUUUGUGUCAAAGAGGCGGUCAGACGAUCGAUACGAAGUUAAUCGCGUUACUGAAGCGGGAUAUAAUUUUAUUACGGGCGAAACUGAAUUCGAAUUUCCAAGCCAAUUUACUGUCAGGCCGUUCGGACGGAAACGGACUCUUAUCGGUUUCCUCGCGGCGUUGAUAUUCACGCGUUAAUUCCAGAGAACCUCAGCCGCAAGCAGAUUAUGGGUAAGAGUAAACACGUUUCAGCAGGAAUAUUUUUUUAAACAAAUCGUUGUUAACAAAGUACGUCGGUAUUCUAUGAAAGGGUUCCAUGGAGAAUAUGUACGUAUGCAAGGAUUUAUAUAUAUGCACAUUGAUGCGGGAAAGCCACGGAAGCGGUGACCCUGCUUGACCGAACCGACCGGGAUCACGAAGUCGGUCGUGUGCGCUUCGCGUACCAUUUAUCUGUACUUUUAUAACCGGUCACGAUAAGACAAGAGCUACCUUUAACUGGCUCGAUACCGCACUUAGAUAUACCUGGCUUAAUUCCUCAUAACACGUGGUAUCAUUUCGUAUCGAGUUUACAAAACUCCCAGGUGCGACACUGCUAAAUGUUUUAAAACCAAGAUAUUGAAGCCAGCGUUAUUAACAAUCAGUUGUGAAAAACGAAUCGUCACGUUUUAUCUACCAUGGAAACGUUUUUCCAAGUUAUAAAGCCGACGGCGUUAAUCCGAGAAUUAAGAGGCGGACAAGUAUCGUAUGACCGUCGAUAUAAAAGACAAGAAGGGUCUGCAGGGGCGGAAAGGCUUCCGUUUCCUCUAUUCCUCAGAGAACCAUGAAUUCCGUUAGCUUAGUCGACCAACAAGUGAUUUAUCGAACAUUUACGACGGACAAACUACAGUUAGCGAAAAUCGUCCACUGGAGAUCUUUUGCAAUAUGACAAUUACAGUUUCCCACCGUGACGAAUUCAUUUUAGUUAAUCUCUUUCAUAGACAAGUUUCGUGUUCUAAAAAUGACACUGGAAAGAAUCGCCGGUUGCUCGAAAUCCUGCACGAGAUGUGCCUCGAAAGCUGGCGAAGGGAAGAAAGAAAGUGGAGGUCAAAGAGCGAAAUGAUUUUUCGUCGGGUCGUGUACAAGACAAGAAUGAUAAAUGAGUGGACAACGAUACCUGGUCUCAGAACAACUAAAGUACGAAGAAGAAUCUUACACAAAAAUAUUUUAGGCAUAUUGCUUUAUCAUAAAAUAAAAUGUUAAAUAUAAACUGAAAGUGUUUCGGAUAUCUUUUUGAGUUAGUUUAAGAUAAUAAAGAGAGGAUUAAUAAAUCGUCAAAAAUCCUAAGAAAACAAUAUAAUCUCGAGGAGAAAAUCGCUUUUGUACCCGAAUUUUCGCGGUAGUGAAGCUCGGUGCAUAUCGGAUUCCACGCGCGUGACAUCGACUAUCGAUUCGGAUGCAAAUAGAUACGAAUGAUAAAUUAAUCAGCAGUAUAAAGAAUCGCGUUACCGUCGGACGCUGUUCUGUCUUUCUAAUAUACGUCAAAUGCCGUAGUUUCAAUCCGCUUCGAACCUAUUGUACAAAAGCAGCCUCCUUUUUCAUUACAAGAGAAAGGAUCGAUUGAACGCUCGCACGGUGAAAUUUUCUGAUGUAUUAUCCAUUUGGAGCAACUGUUUCUUUACGUCGCGGCGGUUCUUCAAUCUUUUUAUAAAGUAAUCGAUAUCGCAGCAAAUGGUAUCGCUAAACCAAACUGUGGUCCUUGAAGCGAUUCUAUACCGAGUACGCUCUUUAUACAAUGAGGGGAAAGAAUCGUCGAUGCAACAAGGUGCUACCGAAGGUAAUGUUUAAUGGCGACUAUCGCUCAUUGGGUCGUUUCAUAUUAAAAA